CUUUAAAGAUGGCUUUGUUGUGAGCCUCAGCAAACCCACAGCAGCAUCUGUGUGUCAGCCUCCCUACCCCACCCCAUUCAUUCUAAUGACUUGAUGAGCAGCUCAAGGCAAAUGCCCUCCUGUAAUUACAUCCCAGGCAAAAUAGAUAUAUAGUAGGUAAAAUAGCCUAUGUGAUGUGACAGAAAGAACACUGAAAUCAGGAAACCUGAUUUUGCCACUAAUUACUGGUGUGUCUUUAGGUAGGUCUGUUUCCUCGUUUGCAAACUGCGGAGCUUACCGUAGAUGAUCUCUAGGAAUUUGGUCCUCAGACUUUGCUUUACAGACAGGUAACCUUUUAACAAUCUAUCUGGUGGCCCAUUAAAAUCGCCUUCUGGGUCAGACUAUAUUUGGAUUAUUUGAACCACCUGAGCAAUUUCAGGAUAUCAAGAGCUUGAGACCAGGCAGGGUCUUGCUCUGUCCCCAGGCUGCAAUGCAGUGGCACGAUCACGGCUCAUUGCAGGCUUGAUCUCCUGGGCUCAAGAUAUCCUCCCAUCUCAGCCUCCCAGGUAGCUGGGACUACAGGUGUGCACCACCAGAACCAGUUUUUUUUUUUUUUUUAGACGGGUUUUUGUAGAGACACG
rnacentral:lncRNA from 1 species